GCCCCGGUGGCUCAUCGGUCUAAGCGCGCGCACCAUCAAGGCUGUGGCCUUCCUGCGGCGACCCGGUUCGAUUCCGGCUCGGGUCA